rnacentral:rRNA from 1 species
AAACCAACAGGGAUUGCCCUAGUAACGGCGAGUGAAGCGGCAACAGCUCAAAUUUGAAAUCUGGCCCUCGGGUCCGAGUUGUAAUUUGCAGAGGAUGCUUUUGGCGCGGUGCCUUCCGAGUUCCCUGGAAUGGGACGCCUUAGAGGGUGAGAGCCCCGUACGGUUGGACACCAAGCCUCUGUAAAGCUCCUUCGACGAGUCGAGUAGUUUGGGAAUGCUGCUCUAAAUGGGAGGUAAAUUUCUUCUAAAGCUAAAUAUUGGCCAGAGACCGAUAGCGCACAAGUAGAGUGAUCGAAAGAUGAAAAGCACUUUGAAAAGAGGGUUAAAUAGCACGUGAAAUUGUUGAAAGGGAAGCGUUUGCGACCAGACCUCUUCCCGGCGGAUCAUCCGGUGUUCUCACCGGUGCACUUCGCCGGGUCGAGGCCAGCAUCGGUCUCUGUAGGGGGAUAAAAGCUCAGGGAACGUAGCUCCUUCGGGAGUGUUAUAGCCCUCUGCACAAUGCCCUUACGGGGACCGAGGACCGCGCCUUCGGGCAAGGAUGCUGGCGUAAUGGUCGCCAACGAC